UAUUAGUCAUAGUUUAUUAGCUUGGUUAAAAAUUUUGUUACUGGUUUGUGUGCCUUUUGCAUCAUGCUUGAGUGAUUUUAGGAGUAAUUUCUUAAAUCGAAAGUCUUGGAUCUUAUAUAAAUUUGCUAAGCGAAUUAGUCGAGUAGACGUUGUUAAAAUUUAUGUAUGACGUGAUAAAUUAAUCGGCAUGACUUAUAGCUAUUAAAUGGCCUUUAUAUUUGAAUUAGCUGUUUGGCAAGGAUGUCUGAUAGCAGGGUAUACUUAAGAAUAUUUUAUACCUAUAGUGGGGUUAAAAAUACCCCUUUAUUAUAAGUUUGUUAUAAGUUUAAUAAUAGUGUUCGUUAGUUAUAUAUGGUGGUCAUUCUUUUAACAGAUUGAUUGGUGUUUAUGCUUAAAUAAGUAAUCUAAAUAGUUGUAUUACUUCUCGAAUUUUGCCCGUCUGUUUAUUAAAAACAUUUCCAUAAAUAAAAUUUUAUGGUAGUACCUGCUCUAUGUCAUGUAUAAAUGGCCGCAGUAUCUUGACUGUGCGAAGGUAGCAUAAUUAAUUGCCUUAUAAUUGAAGGCUUGUUUGAAUGGUUUGACGUGGUAAAGAUAAAUAUUAUAACUAUAGUUGAAAUUAUUACGGAGGGCACAGAAACCUCCAUUUUUAAUUAGACGGAAAGACCCCGGGAUCUUUUGUUUUUGCUUGGGGCAAGUUAAAGUUUUUCACUUUUAUUGUGACCCUUUUGGUAUAUUGAGUUAAGUUACCCCGGGGAUAACAGUGUAAUAGUCUAUUAGAGACCUUAUCGAUUAGACUGUUUGCUACCUCGAUGUUGACUUAGGUUUAGUUUUAGGCGCAGUAGUUUAAAUCUUAGGUCUGUUCGACCUUAUAAACCUCCAUGAGUUGAGUUAAGACCGGUGUAAGCCAGGUCGGUUCUUAUCUAUUUAUCUAGCUUACUAGUACGAAAGGACCGUAAGUUUUUUUAUU
rnacentral:rRNA from 1 species